GACAGAGGGUGCAAACGUUGCUCGGAAUCACUGGGCGUAAAGGGCGUGUAGGCGGGUAGAUAAGUCGGGCGUGAAAUCCCUAGGCUCAACCUAGGAACUGCACUCGAAACUGUUUAUCUUGAGUAUCGGAGAGGAAAGCGGAAUUCCUGGUGUAGCGGUGAAAUGCGCAGAUAUCAGGAGGAACACCAAUGGCGAAGGCAGCACUCUGGGACGGUACUGACGCUGAGACGCGAAAGCGUGGGGAGCAAACGGG
rnacentral:rRNA from 1 species